UUGUGUGCUACUCAAGAAAUUGAAAAUAAGAUGUGGGGAGAUAUAGUAAAGAAAAGUUGCCUGUGCAUUCAUUGUCUGAGUUCGAUAAGUGAAGUGUUUACAAGUUAAUUGAUAUAAUGGGUCAUGAAAUACAUUCGGUUGAUAGUGUUAGUGAACAAGGUAGACAGACCCAGCAAAACCUCCAUAUAAGUACAGACUAUAUCAGCAUUCUGCACUACAGUGAUAUAAAACAAAUUAAGUACAUUACUUGUACUUGUACUUGAACUUGAGAGCAUAACUUAACAUAUGGAAGGACUAAACCAUCCAGUUUGUAACAGAUAUUUUCCAAACCAAAUUUUUGCAAGUAUUAGAAACGUACUCAUAAGUUGCUUUGGGUCAUCCAAUCAACUAUGAUUAUACCCUGUACCCAUUUUCAAUUGGAAAUCAGGGCAUUAUGGUUUUCAUAAAUUUUAUUAAUAUGUGAACGUG